UUCAUUUUGCCACAAGAUUGUAAUAACAAUCAAUAUGAAAAUGAACAUAAAGCACAUAAAAUCACCAUUCUCCCUUUUAAGGUUCCCAUGAUCUUUUGCCACAUGUAAUACCUUAGAUCCAUCAUCCACCAUAUAUGGGGUGAAGAUAUGACCUUGAGAUGAUGUAUAACAUACAAUUACAAAUCAAAUAAGAAGCAGAAGAAGUGAAGAUGAAAUCAUAAAACUNAAAUAAAAUAAGAAGGAGAAGAGGUGAAGAUGAAAUCAUAAAACUAGAACAAGGUUAUGAAUCAAGUUGUAAGAAAGGAUAAGGAGGUUCAUACCAAUA
rnacentral:lncRNA from 1 species